CCUCGUUUGUUCAGGGGCUGCCGGCCAGGGCUUCAGGACGUUUCUGCGGCUUUCCCCGCGCGGCCUGGGCUCCCGCGGCUGCUUUUCGGGCCCAUGGGCGCAGCCACUGCGCCAGGCUCAAGGGGGGCGGCCCCGUCAGGGCCCGCCAUCUUGGAAGGCCUUUUUUGCCGGUUCUUCCCGCUGAGGAAGUGUCGCUCAAGACGCUGGCCUAUGAGUUGUGAUUUCUGCCUUUUCCCCUUCCUCCUUGGGCUAAGCCAGACCAGAAAGGGCCCCGUGCGCAACGUGCUUCACAAUCUCUCAGGGAAAGCGGCUAACGUGGCGCUACUCCGCCUCCCCUGUUCCUUACCCUUGGGGCGGCCGCCAUGUUUCCUGAACACAAAAUGGCGACACGUGGUUAGCAUUCGUCGCCAACGAGAAAUUGGGGUCGGCCCGAAAGCUCUAGAAUGCACCCCUCUUCCUCCCCGGGGCCUUCCACCUCCGCGAGUUUUAUGACUUAAAAAAGCCCACAGGCUGGUCUGAAGGUCGGAGGCCUAAUUUUAACGCGUUUUCCUCCCUUUAAUUUGAAACGGGAACGCGAAUGACUGUAAAAUGUGGGCACAAUAUUUAAUCUCUCGCCUUUUUAAAGCUUAAUAGUGGAUAAUAGGGGGGCAGUAUCAAGGGAUAAUUUGGGUCCCCACAGUACCAAAGCAUUUAGAAACCUCUGUUUAAUUUAAGGAAUGAGAUAAGUUACUGCUUUUCUAGACUUCCUAGCAUGGGCUGUUGUGCUGGAGAGAACGAGAGCUACGAAGAGACUACAGUGCCUCUGACUUUUUCAUAGGACAGUUGGCCGAGGAAGACAAACAUAAAGAUGAAGUGCUUAAUUCAAGGUCACACAAUGUCGGGGAUGGACCUCCAGAUUUCCUUACUGACCUGCAUUAUCUUGUGGAUACCUGAGUGAAUUCCACACCACCCAUUUUAUAGAUGAAACCACUGAGACAUGGAGCAAUUGACUGAGUAGUCACUGCCCCACCCCUGCCUGGAGCCUCACACAUGACUCGCCUCCUCUCAGUGACCACAGGUUGGUUGAGGGGUUUAACAAGGCUAAGAAGGAAAACAAGCUCAGGGCUCCCACUGAUUGUACAUUAUGGUGAGACGUGGUCUUGUAACACAGUGGUUAAGAAUGUGACUUUGGAGCCAGCCUGCUAGGGGCUGAAUUCUGACUCAGCCAUUUACUAACUGUGUGACCUUAGGCUGGAGUGCAAUGGCAUGAUCUCGGCUCAUCACAACCUCUGCUUCCUGGGUUCAAGCGAUUCUCCUGCCUCAGCCUCCCGAGUACCUGGGACUACAGGCACUCGCCACCAUGCCCGGCUGAUUUUUGUAUUUUUAAUAGAGAUGGUUUCACUAUGUUGGCCAGGCUGGUCUCGAACUCCUGACCUUGUGAUCUGCCCACCUCAGCCUCGAAAAGUGCUGGGAUUACAGGCGUGAGCCACUGCGCCCAGCCUUGUAUUUUUUUUCAGUUUGGGUAGCUGUCCCUAAUUCAUUUGUUAAAGGAGAAGCAAGAGCAAGAACCUUUAAUCUGUUCUCCUCUUCCCUAAUUUGAAAGUAGCUUGUUAUUUUGAAUAUCACUUUCUCUGAAAUAGCACAUCUCCAUCUCAGAGAAUGGAUUUAAUGUUUGGAUACAGCCAAAAGUCAUUUCAUUACCAAACCAUGGGGUGAAUAUACCAUGUAAAGCAGUUUGGGAUCAGAACUCACAGUCUGAAUUGUAAGUGAUGAGACUGCUGUCUCUCUGCUACAGCUUCUUGGCUGGCUCUGAAGGCUCUUUGAAGGCAGAUCCUAACAAGGGGACUGCUUUGAAGGGCCAUUGUUCAUUUGGAAUGAUAAAGUCUAUGUUGUUCAAAAAACAAAUGCUUGUAGCAGGUAUUUUUUCACUCCAGACUGAGAAUAUUGGUGGGAUAUUGAUAAGGGGUACUGAAUGGUAAUAAACAUGUGCUCUAGCUCUGUGCUAGUCAGCUUAUUUCAGAACUCUAGUUUGAUUCAGUUUCUUGCCUCUGACUCAAAAUGGAGGGAGAGUGAUUUUUACAUAAGAGAACACACCCACAUAUCCUUUUGGCAGCAGCUACCUGCCAGAGAUGUUGAAGAAGAGUAGCCAACCUUUACACAGCAGAUAUUGUGUGCCAGUCAUAGUCCUAAGUAUAAUACCUUACAUGUAUAAACUUCUUAUAAGGUUGGUGCUCUGUACCGAAUUGAAUAGUAUCCCCCAAAAUUCAUGUUGUCCCAGAACCUAUGAAAGUGAUC
ensembl:lncRNA PCBP1-AS1 PCBP1 antisense RNA 1